rnacentral:rRNA from 1 species
UGGGGAAUUUUGGACAAUGGGCGAAAGCCUGAUCCAGCAAUGCCGCGUGUGUGAAGAAGGCCUUCGGGUUGUAAAGCACUUUUGUCCGGAAAGAAAUGGCUCUGGUUAAUACCUGGGGUCGAUGACGGUACCGGAAGAAUAAGGACCGGCUAACUACGUGCCAGCAGCCGCGGUAAUACGUAGGGUCCAAGCGUUAAUCGGAAUUACUGGGCGUAAAGCGUGCGCAGGCGGUUGUGCAAGACCGAUGUGAAAUCCCCGAGCUUAACUUGGGAAUUGGCAUUGGUGACUGCACGGCUAGAGUGUGUCAGAGGGGGGUAGAAUUCCACGUGUAGCAGUGAAAUGCGUAGAGAUGUGGAGGAAUACCGAUGGCGAAGGCAGCCCCCUCGGAGUAACACUGACGCUCAUGCACGAAAGCGUGGGGAGCAAACAGGAUUAGAUACCCUGGUAGUCCACGCCCUAAACGAUGUCAACUAGUUGUUGGGGGAUUCAUUUCCUUAGUAACGUAGCUAACGCGU